UAAAAAAUGUAAUUAUAAGUAUUGAAUGCUUCUUUUUGUAACUUUAUAGGGUUGUAAAAGCGUUGACCGUGCAUACAUUUUUAGAAUGACGCUUCCACGUUCAACAAAAUGUACUUCGUCAACGCUUUUACACCCCAAUAAAUUUACAAAAAGAAGCAUUCAAUUCUUAAAUGAAACAGCCUUCAAAACUUUUAAGGUGUUUGUCAUCACUACAAAACCAGAGGAUCCAAAAAAGUCUUCAAAACAGAGUACAACCC
rnacentral:lncRNA from 1 species